rnacentral:rRNA from 1 species
AUGCAAGAUUGCAAAGGAGUCAAAAUUCCUAUGCCCACGAAUGGCCAUCUAUGCACUGAUGAAAAUGGUAUUGACUUCGAUCACAAGGUAUACUGCUCCAUGAUUGGUUUUUUAUUGUACUUAUGUGCAUCUAGGCCAGAUAUAAUGCUUAGUGUUUGCAUGUGUGCCCGAUUUCAAGCUACACCGAAGGAAUCACACCAUAAGGCUGUGAAGCAUAUUCUUCGAUAUCUAGCUCACACACCAACACUAGGACUAUGGUACCCCAAGGGCUCUACUUUUGACCUCAUGGGAUAUUCUGACUCUGACUAUGCUGGUGAUCGUGUGGACCGCAAGUCAACACCUGGUACUUGUCAUUUCCUCGGACGAUCUUUGGUCUGUUGGUCCUCUAAGAAACAA